GCUCCGUAGGUGAACCUGCGGAGGGAUCAUUACAGAGUUCGUGCCCUCACGGGUAGAUCUCCCACCCUGUGUUAUUAUACCUUUGUUGCUUUGGCGGGCCGCCCUCGGCUACCGGCCCCGGCUAGUACGCGCCCGCCAGAGGACCCCAAACUCUGAAUGUUAGUGUCGUCUGAGUACUAUACAAUAGUUAAAACUUUCAACAACGGAUCUCUUGGUUCUG
rnacentral:misc_RNA from 1 species